AGUGUGUCCGCUGUGGUUGCGAUGCUGCGCAUGUGUGGUUUUGGUCUCCGACUCUGGCUGGGAGGACUGAGCGGCACUCUGCGGGCCGCGCUUCCUGCGCCGGAGCGAGGUGGGCUCUAGAUCAGUGGAGAGUACUCGUCCGGAAAAGCUUUAAACAACCUAAGUUCACAAUAGUGUGAUCAGCAUUGGAAAAGAUGCCAACAUCAGCUGCCACAUAUGAAAGAAUAGUUUACAAAAAUUUCUCAGAGUACCACUACAUGAAAGUCUGCCUAGAAUUUCAAGAUCAUGGAGUUGGACUAAAUGUGGCACAGUUCAAACAGCUGCUUGUUUCUGCUCUGAAGGACCUGUUUGGGGAG